rnacentral:tRNA from 1 species
GCCAUCGUAGCUCAGUGGUAGAGCAAUCGCCUCGUAAGCGAUAGGUCGUGGGUUCAACUCCCACCGAUGGCU